rnacentral:rRNA from 1 species
GGAGCCGUAGCGAAAGCGAGUUUUAACUGAGCGUUCAGUUACUUGACGUAGACCCGAAACCGGGCGACCUACCCAUGAGCAGGAUGAAGCGAAAGUAAAAUUUCGGGGAGGUCCGAACCCACGAGCGUUGAAAAGCUCGGGGAUGACUUGUGGGUAGCGGUGAAAUUCCAAUCGGGCCCGGAGAUAGCUGGUUCUCCCCGAAAUAGCUUUAGGGCUAGCCUCAAGGUGAGAGAUACGGAGGUAGAGCACUGAAUGUCCUAGGGGGUAUUGCACCUACCGAAGACUAUCAAACUCCGAAUGCCGUCAUCUUAUACUUGGGAGUCAGACUGUGGGUGAUAAGAUUCAUAGUCGAAAGGGCAACAGCCCAGAUCGUCAGCUAAGGUCCCUAAAUGUAAGUUAAGUGGUAAAGGAUGUGGGAUUGCACAGACAACCAGGAUGUUGGCUUAGAAGCAGCCACUCAUUCAAAGAGUGCGUAAUAGCUCACUGGUCGAGUGAUCCUGCGCCGAAGAUUUCCGGGGCUAAAACUUACUACCGAAGCUACGGCAUCA